GACGAACGCUGGUGGCGUGCUUAACACAUGCAAGUCGAACGGUAAGGCCCUUCGGGGUACACGAGUGGCGAACGGGUGAGUAACACGUGGGUGAUCUGCCCUGCACUUCGGGAUAAGCCUGGGAAACUGGGUCUAAUACCGGAUAGGACCACUGCCUGCAUGGGUGGUGGUGGAAAGCUUUUGCGGUGUGGGAUGGGCCCGCGGCCUAUCAGCUUGUUGGUGGGGUGAUGGCCUACCAAGGCGACGACGGGUAGCCGGCCUGAGUGGGUGACCGGCCACACUGGGACUGAGAUACGGCCCAGACUCCUACGGGAGGCAGCAGUGGGGAAUAUUGCACAAUGGGCGCAAGCCUGAUGCAGCGACGCCGCGUGAGGGAUGACGGCCUUCGGGUUGUAAACCUCUUUCAGCACCGACGAAGCGCAAGUGACGGUAGGUGCAGAAGAAGGACCGGCCAACUACGUGCCAGCAGCCGCCGUAA
rnacentral:rRNA from 1 species